rnacentral:rRNA from 1 species
AAGGGAAUUGACGGUACUCUACGAAUAAGGAUCGGCUAAUUCCGUGCCAGCAGCCGCGGUAAUACGGAGGAUCCAAGCGUUAUCCGGAAUCAUUGGGUUUAAAGGGUCCGUAGGCGGACUAAUAAGUCAGUGGUGAAAGUCUGCAGCUCAACUGUAGAAUUGCCAUUGAUACUGUUAGUCUUGAGUCAUUAUGAAGUGGUUAGAAUGAGUGGUGUAGCGGUGAAAUGCAUAGAUAUCACUCAGAAUACCGAUUGCGAAGGCAGAUCACUAAUAAUGUACUGACGCUGAUGGACGAAAGCGUAGGUAGCGAACAGGAUUAGAUACCCUGGUAGUCUACGCCGUAAACGAUGGUUACUAGCUGUUUGGUCGAUUGAGACUGAGUGGCUAAGCGAAAGUGAUAAGUAACCCACCUGGGGAGUACGUUCGCAAGAAUGAAACUCAAAGGAAUUGACGGGGGCCCGCACAAGCGGUGGAGCAUGUGGUUUAAUUCGAUGAUACGCGAGGAACCUUACCAGGGCUUAAAUGUAGUCUGACAGAUUUGGAAACAGAUUUUUCUUCGGACAGAUUACAAGGUGCUGCAUGGUUGUCGUCAGCUCGUGCCGUGAGGUGUCAGGUUAAGUCCUAUAACGAGCGCAACCCCUGUGGUUAGUUGCCAGCGAGUCAAGUCGGGAACUCUAGCCAGACUGCCGGUGCAAACCGUGAGGAAGGUGGGGAUGACGUCAAAUCAUCACGGCCCUUACGUCCUGGGCCACACACGUGCUACAAUGGUAGGGACAGAGAGCAGCCACUUCGCGAGAAGGAGCGAAUCUUCAAACCCUAUCACAGUUCGGAUCGCAGUCUGCAACUCGACUGCGUGAAGCUGGAAUCGCUAGUAAUCGGAUAUCAGCCAUGAUCCGGUGAAUACGUUCCC